rnacentral:ncRNA from 1 species
AUCUCUUCGCUAAGGAGCUGCUUAUGCGAAAACUCACGGCCACUUUUAUAGUAGGCCUGAUAGGGCUAAUCGCGCUGUCCGUGUCGAGCACGGCUGUCGCAUGUGGCGAUGCCGCGGGAUCGGGCUACUCGGCCCCAAAGUAACCGCUAGCCCGAAUGUGCCGCGCGCACACAAAAAAAGGCCUUCAUCAUGGUGAUGAAGGCCUUUUACU